rnacentral:tRNA from 1 species
GGGCGGUUAGCUCAAUUGGUAGAGCGCGUUCUUGACGUGAACGAUGUUAUAGGUUCGAGUCCUAUACCGCCCA